UACGGAGGGUGCAAGCGUUAUCCGGAUUUACUGGGUUUAAAGGGUGCGUAGGUGGAUUUGUAAGUCAGUGGUGAAAUCUCCGAGCUUAACUCGGAAACUGCCAUUGAUACUAUAAGUCUUGAAUUAUGUGGAGGUAAGCGGAAUAUGUCAUGUAGCGGUGAAAUGCUUAGAUAUGGCGUGGAACACCAAUUGCGAAGGCAGCUUACUACGGAUCGAUUGACACUGAGGCACGAAAGCGUGGGGAUCAAACAGG
rnacentral:rRNA from 1 species